CUGUAAUAUUUUUGCUGAGAGAAAAAAAGAAGAAGGUCGAGAUAGAAACAAGAGAUCGAGGGAGAAAAAGAUAGAGAGAGUUUGAUUCGAACCACUGAUGGUGGUUGAUUAGGGUUUUGGUUUAAAUCUGGAUCUAUGUUGCAACCAAGAAGAAAAAGGGGAUUUUGCUGUUUUAGAUGACAGAAUACAACUGAAUCGAAGAUAGGGUGUUUACGAAUUGGAAGAAUAAGCAAUUGAUUGAAGACGGUUAUGAACCUGCUGUUGUUGAAUAGAAGAUGGGUAUUUGUUAAUCGAGGUUGGAGGAUGAAUUGACGCUGAUUAAUAGAGGGCCAGGGAAGAAGAAGAUUCAGAAAUUGAUCUCUGUUGAGGUCGAAAUAAUGUGUUGGUGUUCUUGAGGAUAAAAGGUUCUGAUUCGAAAUGGGUUUUUGGGUUGAAUCUGGAAGAGGCAGCAGCGAGACUUUGAUGAUGGGGAUUUAUGAGAUUUCAGUAAACACCGAUUCAGGGUUUAACGGGUUUGAGAGAUUCAUGAAGUUUUUGGAGAAGCUGAUGGUUGAAGAUUGCUGGUGCUUAGAACUGGAUGAAUUGGUGUUGCUGUGGAGCAGUAUUACUGAACCCAUAAUAUCGAAACAACAUCUGUAGACCAAAAAUCAUCAACAUGAAUUAGUGAAUUGGAGAGUUUGGAGCAAGUGUUUGUGGAAUUAGAUCUUGCGGAGAAGGAAAUAGAGAUCGUGAAGAUGAAAUUGGAGCUUGAGAAGAAGACUGCUGUUAGAGAUGAGGAUGCAACUGAAUUUUGGAGGAACAAGUGUUCUGAUUUGGAGACUCUAGUCCUGGCAUUGGAAAUUGAAUACUUAACAAUGAGUUAUGAAGAUAGCUCAAUAUUGAGAUGUAAUAGGAGGUAUUCAACCAGCUACCAGUGAUAAUACCUUAGCUACAAAGAAGGGCGACCCAAAAGCUCAGGCUGUGAAGGCUACAAAGGCAGUAAAAUCUGGUGCGUUAACCUUGAAAAGGAAGAUUAAGAAGAUCAGGACAUCAGUCACAUUCCGUACGGGGAACAUGCGCCUUCAAUCAUUUUCAUGGACUAAAUUGACAGUAUUGGAUCAGCUCGUAUGGAAUGUGGAACUGGUAAUGGUGAUAGUGAAUCAUAUGAUAUCUUUCGAUAAGUUGAUUACGGAUGGAAAAUGGUUUCUGAGUCCUGUCACUGUUUGGGGUAUGUAUGGUAGGGGAAAAGGAGCUGGUGCUGCUCGAAUUGUUCCUCAUGCAGCUCUGCAUUAUAUGGCCUACGUCUGAUAGAUUAUUCAAUUUUUUGUUGGUUCUCAUAGUCUUCUAAUUGUUGCUUGUUUUCUAUGUGGUUUCACUGGAAUUUUGGAUGUUGUUUUCAGAAACACCCGAUGUUAAUACAGGAGAUAUGGAUUUCUCGCAACUCGGCGACAUGGGUGGAAUGGGAGGCAUGGGAGGAAUGGGCGGUAUGGGUGGAAUGGGCGGCAUGGACAUGGCCAGCUUGAUGCAAGGGAUGGGUGGCAUGGAUAUGUCCGGCAUGGGUGACAUGGAUUGCUACGGAAUAUAGUGGUGUUGAUGUUGAAGUGGUCAAGGAUUUUGCAUUUGGUGUCACGAAUAAGACUCCUGAGUUUCUUAAGAUGAACCCAAUCAGAAAGAUUCCUGUUCUUGAAAUUCGAGAUGGACCUGUUUUUGAGAGUAAUGCCAUAGCACGUUAUGGAAGGCAAACCUCUCCUUGGUUCGUCCUUGAUUGAAUAUGGUCAUGUUGAGCAAUGGAUUGAUUUUUCGUCUUUGGAGGUUAAUUCUAAUUUGUCGCGCAUGGAUUACACACGGCUUUCUGGCAGGUUCAUUUGCUGGUGGAACCGCAGUUCUUUUCACUUGCCCACUUGAUUUAGUACGAACAAAACAAAAUUAGCCUAUCAGGAACGUGUAAGGAAGGCAGUCGCAGCAAAGAAAGCCUGCACCUGCAACCAAAAAGAAAAAAGAGUCCAGUGAUGAUAGCUCUGAUGAGAGUGAUUCCAAGGAUCUUAAUGUUUUAAUGUAAAAAUCUGAUUAGGUAUUUUUGUUCAAUUAAACAUGAAGUGAGAGGGAUAGUAUUGAAACUUAUGUUGAAUGUAUUUGAAGAGAGGUUUCUGAGGUUUAAAACCUAACUUUGUUCACUGCCAUUUUUUGAAUGUGUGUGUUUAACACUGGCAGGUUAACUUGAGUGAAUGUAAAUGUGUUACACUGUCAGGUUAAUGUGAAACCGAUAUUCGGUUUCCGCUAUAAUUUCUUUUUUCGAAAUAGUUUUAUGCACA